rnacentral:rRNA from 1 species
UUCUUACAGAAUUAAUUUUAAGUAUAAUCUGCUCAAUGAUAAAUAAAUAGCCGCAGAAUUUUACUGUGCUAAGGUAGCAUAAUCAUUAGUCUUCUAAUUUAAGGCCAGUAUGAAGGAUUUCACGUUUUAAUUUCUAUCUAAAAUUAUUAAUAAAAAUUAUAUUAAGAGUAAAAAUAUUCUUAUUAAUAAAAAAGACGACAAGACCCUAUUGAACUUAACUUUAGUUUUGCUGGGGCAGCAAAUUAAUAAAUAUUUUAAUCUAAAUUUUAAAACAAAAACCCAAUAAAAUUGAUUUAAUCUAGUUACCAUAGGGAUAACAGCGUAAUAUUUUUAUAAAGAUCUAUUAAAAAAAAAGAUUACGACCUCGAUGUUGAAUUAUUUAUCUUUUAAACGCAAUAGUUUAAACAGAAGGUCUGUUCGACCUUAAAAUUUUUACA